rnacentral:lncRNA from 1 species
UGUAGAUUGUUCAUUGGUCUGCAACAUAUAAAAAAAUCAAGCCUAAAUCAAAAAUUUUGGCAUGAUCUUUUCUUAUUUUACAAUUUUUAAGCUAUUUUUUCAAGCCCUCCUAAAAAAAGGAAAUAAGGUAGAAAAGAGGAAGCACACCUUAUUUAGCCUUGAGUUUUUCUUCUGAUAGCCUGAAUCGAUAUUAUUUUUGAAGCAUUUGGAAAGAAGCGGCCGAGAGAGCAAAUAGCUUUCAAGCCUUUCCAACAGACACCUACUACUUUAAAAAGCAUCAGGUGCAGUCUGCAGUGUGAACUCGGUUUGGAACUGGGUUGACUCAGUGCGAAGUGGCCGGUUCGCAUCGAGUUUGCACCGAACCGACCGGUUUUGACCGGUUCGGGCACUUACUGGCCAGUUAUGGUCGGUAAGGGACCAGUUUUGGCCGAUAAAGGGCUGGAACUGAUCUGAUGCGAGGCACUGCCCGAACCAGGCGAUUCAGCCUGUUCGACAGUUCUUAGAUUUAUCUAAUACAUAAUACUAUUUUUUGUAUUUAUUUAUUUAUAUAUUUUUAAUAAUUUUUAAAUUUAAAUAUAUGUUUAAAUAUCGUAAA